GACAGAGGAUGCAAGCGUUAUCCGGAAUGAUUGGGCGUAAAGCGUCUGUAGGUGGCUUUUUAAGUCCGCCGUCAAAUCCCAGGGCUCAACCCUGGACAGGCGGUGGAAACUACCAAGCUGGAGUACGGUAGGGGCAGAGGGAAUUUCCGGUGGAGCGGUGAAAUGCGUAGAUAUCAUCUGGAACGCCAAUGGUGCAGACAGGCUGCUGGGAAUGAACUGACGCUGAGGCACGAAAGCCAGGGGAGCGAACGGG
rnacentral:rRNA from 1 species